ensembl:lncRNA
UUUCUCGUCGCUAGCAGGAAGAGGAAAAUCUACUUCCGGGUCGCGAACGUAAAGCGCUACCCACGUGAAUUGUAGAAGUGUGCAAAACGGAUUCCGAUGAGGACGUAGUUUUUGUUUCUGAAAGGUCCUGUCACAAGCCCAUUGAAAUCACAAUUGAUCAGGCAAAGCGACUGGCCCUCCAAAGAGAAAUUGAUCAGCAGUCCCGACCCAAAGAGCCAGCCAAACCUUUGUCAAGCAAGAGACCUGUAGCUGAGGAGAGGCACGCAGAAAUCAUGAAAAUGAAGAUGGAGGAGGAGAAGAGUGAGGAAAAUAAUAUAAAGAAAGAGAAGAAACACAAGAAGGGAAAAGCUGAUGAUUUGAGCCUAGCAGAUGUGAGAAAAGAACAGAAGAAAGGCAAAAUGGCUGAUGCUGUGGUGAUCGAAGAGGGGUCUUGUGACGGAAAUGGUGAGAAGGAAGAAAAAAGAAGAAGAGGAAAACUGAUUCUCUGGAUGAUGUCAAUGAUUCUGAGGUCACUGAUGGAAAAGAUGUCACCAAAAAGAAGAAGAAGAAGAGGCUGCUGGUAGAUGGUGAGAGUCAAGGAGAAAUUACACAGAGUUUAGUAAAAGAGGAGGAAGUAGAUAAGAAAGAGAAGAAGACAAAAGGAAAAAAUAAGUCUACACAAAUUAAACAAGAAAACAUGGUGAAAGAAGAAGAGGAAGAGGAGCAAGUGGGAAAAGAUAAUCUGCCCAAAAAAGUCAAGAAAGGGAAAAAACAGGUUUUAGAUAUGAACACAGAGGAGACUGAGGAGAAAAUCAAAGAAAAGAAGAAGAAAAAUAAGGUGUUGGCUGAUGGUGAGGCUCAUGUAGAAACUGCAGAUGCUUUAGUAAAAGAGCAGGAAGUGGAAAAGAAACAGAAGAAGAAUGUAAAAAAUAAGUCUACACAAAUAAAACGAGAAAACAUGGUAAAAGAAGAGGAGGAAGAAAAGCAAGUGGAAAAAGACAAUGUGCCCAAGAAAGCAAACGAGAAACAUGCUUUAGAUAUGAGCACAGAGGUGACCGAAGGGCAAAGAAAAGAAAAGAAGAAAAAACAAAAAUGCCCUUUAACUGUGGAAGAAGCAACAAUAAAGAAAGCUAAAACAGCUGAAAAUGGCAUAAAGUUAGAAAAAAUCGAACACGAGGACGUAAAAAUAAAAAAGAAGAAAAAGAAAGAAACCGAGACUAAAGAAGAAAAUGGAGUAGAAACAGAGAUUAAAGGCAAAAACAAAAAGAGCAAAGAAGCAUCAGACAAAGUUAGAAAAAGUGAAAAGCAAGAAAAAUCAACAAACAGUGUUAUUGUUACUACUGAUGAUGAAGUAAUGACAGAAUUUAAGAAAAAGGUAAAAAAGGGUAAAUGUAAAAUAGCUACUGUGGAGGCUACCAAUGCAGAGAAGGAAGAGCCAAAGAAGAAGAAAAGAAAAAAGGUACAACGUGAGGAGGAAGAAGACAAACAUGAGGAGGUUCAGAAGGAUGAGCAGAGUGGCGAAGCUGGUGACACACCAAAGAAGAAAAGCAAACAGAAAAGGAGCUCUGCUAAGGUGGAGCGCGUGAGCGACUCCAGAGUUGAACCUGUUGCUAAAAAGAAGAAAAACAUCAAACAAGAACGGGAAGACCCAGAGUUUCAGGAGUCACCCCAAGUGGACGUGGUUUUCCUGUCAGAGAGGAGUGGAAACACUGAUGAGGUCACCAUCAAUCAGGUCAACAGAGCUCUCGUUAUCUCUCCAUAGAUUGAUGUGUGAAACCUAUUGCCAUAAUCAGUAAUUGGCAUGUUUCAAAUUACACUUUGUCCUUCAGAAAUUCAGGAAACGCUGUUCUUAUACUAUCCACUUUCAUAUUAACAGUCCUUGUCGCAUCAAACAUUCCCUGAGGGACAUAAUUAUGUACUAUGGGCAAGAUGUGACAUAUAUCGCGUAAGGUCAAAGGAAACACAUCCAUUCAAGUUGUUAAACUGUAAUUUCUAAACAGCAGCUCACCUGUCUGACGUCACUGACCACUGAGUCAGUGACAUCAUUACUUUCGUGUCUGCAGCUGGUUCACAAUGCAGCUGCAUGACUUCACGACCCCUGUCCUGGCCUCCCGGCACUGGCUGCCUGUGUCUUUUAGAGUUCAUCCUCUUUCACAAUCCUUUCAAUCUUGCCCCGCCUUCCCUCUCUGCACUUCUUGAUCCCUGCACACCCUGUCAGUGUCUCAGGUCAGCUGACCAAGAUCCAGUUGGAAGUUCAGAGGAGACUGGGCUUUUUCUUUCGUGCCUCCUACGUUAUGGAAUAACUUGCCCUUGGAAGGUGGAGAGGCCCCUUCACUGUCUUCACUUAGCUUCACUUAGCUUUUUUUUUUUUAGUUAUUUGAGCUUUUUUAAAUGUGUUUUUUAUUUAAAUCUCAUGUAUUCUUAUUAUGUAGU